rnacentral:rRNA from 1 species
AACGACUCUCGGCAACGGAUAUCUUGGCUCUCGCAUCGAUGAAGAACGUAGCGAAAUGCGAUACUUGGUGUGAAUUGCAGAAUCCCGUGAACCAUCGAGUCUUUGAACGCAAGUUGCACCCGAAGCCUUCUGGCCAAGGGCACGUCUGCCUGGGCGUCACGC